rnacentral:rRNA from 1 species
AGUGAACGCUGGCGGUAGGCCUAACACAUGCAAGUCGAACGGCAGCACAGUAAGAGCUUGCUCUUACGGGUGGCGAGUGGCGGACGAGUGAGGAAUACAUCGGAAUCUACUUUUUCGUGGGGGAUAACGUAGGGAAACUUACGCUAAUACCGCAUACGACCUACGGGUGAAAGCAGGGGAUCUUCGGACCUUGCGCGAUUGAAUGAGCCGAUGUCGGAUUAGCUAGUUGGCGGGGUAAAGGCCCACCAAGGCGACGAUCCGUAGCUGGUCUGAGAGGAUGAUCAGCCACACUGGAACUGAGACACGGUCCAGACUCCUACGGGAGGCCGCAGUGGGGAAUAUUGGACAAUGGGCGCAAGCCUGAUCCAGCCAUACCGCGUGGGUGAAGAAGGCCUUCGGGUUGUAAAGCCCUUUUGUUGGGAAAGAAAAGCAGCAGGUUAAUACCCCGCUGUUCUGACGGUACCCAAAGAAUAAGCACCGGCUAACUUCGUG